GCCCACCUGUCGCUACAUCCAUCUACGGCUUAUUCUCGUGCUCCCAAGCGAGCGACAAACCAGCCCAUUGUAUGGCACACUGCGGGGAGAUGGCGGAGGCAGAGAUCUGCUGCCGAUGGGGGGAUUCGUUUUGCGCCCAAGGUUCGCGCCUUCCUCACCCGCGAAAAUCUCUUCCACGCUCUCCCUGAAAUACUCCCGUUGCGCCCCCACAUCCAACCCUAGCUCCUGUUCCGGCCACCAUGUCGCGACAGGCAUGGAAGGAGGUGGUGGCGGCACAAGAUAUACUGAAGGUGAAUGAGGCUCGGAUGCGCAAGGCAGCUGCAGCGCAAUCGUGGAAGGAUGCGGCAGCACCAAUGCGGAAGGCCCAAGGAAGAGCUCGGGUGCCGCUUGUGCCGGAGCAGAGUAGUUCGGGUUAGGCGGUGCCUGUGCCAGAGCAGAGGAGUUUGGGAUAUGGCAUGGCUACUCCACCAGGGUCCUUCACCGAUGGCAGCUGCUUCUUCAACGGCAGCAUCGGUGGCUUCUUCGGCAGCACUGGACAAAGCCCCGUCGCUCAACCAUGGAAUCCACAAUCUUCAGAUCCUGCAAUAUAGUACUCUCUCGCAGUUUUACUCAAUAUUUAUGUUUCUGAUGUGAAGCAAUGUGAGCACGAUUUUUUUCCUUGAUGGAUUCAGUAAUGGUACUCUGUCUCAAUUAUGUUGCUGGUAGUUGUUAUCAUGAAUUAUUUCAAGUUUUUAUGAUUGUAGGGACUAGCAACAUUCAUAUGCUUGUAAAGGAGGCUUACUGUUUGCUUCCUACUGGAGAACCUUCUCAGUUUGCCCCAUUGAAGCCACCACAGAGUUCACAAGAUUUUCAAUUAGAAGAAGAAUUCUCGAAUCCAAAUUCAUCAAGGGACAAUACAUAUGUUAAUGUUGACAGCAGUGAUGAGGCACCUGGGAUUGAGAAGCGAAUCUUCUGGACUCAAGAAGACGUCAGGAUGAUGAGCUCUUGGCUGCUUAAUUCAACAGACUCAACCAUUGGUGCUGAUAGGAAGAAUGACCAAUAUUGGACUGAUGUGGAGGCUACAUACAAGACUAAGUCAUAGGAGAAGAAAUGCCAAGCAAAUGAAGGACCGUUUUCAUAAGGUAAAUAAGUGGUCUGACAUUUUUCCAUAGUGAUUGGUUGAAGGGUAGAAUGAUUUAUACAAGUUGAUAUAAUGAUCAAAUUUGGAUUGAGAAGGCCCAUGUAUUGUGUAUAAAAGACAAUGAGAAACUCAAUCUAGGUCCUUUUGUGUUGAUGGAAGUAUGGAACACAUUAAAAACUAAAGCAAAGUGGAUUACAUACAAGAAUGGGCUUAAAGCUGCAAGAAAAAGAAAGGGCUUAGGCAAGGAGAAGGAAGUAGAGGAUAGUAGCCCUUUAGAUGUAGAUGAACUAGAUGAAGAACCAAGACCAAUGGGGCAAAACGGCUGCUGAAAAGCUAAAAUAUGCCAAAAGUAAGGAGGUAGACCAUAUUGAUCUUGAGGAGCUGGAUAAAUUUGGUAAAAUUCAGUGUGAAGAGCAUGCAAACAGACUAAAAGUAUUGGAAGUGCAGAAAAAGUUAACAAUCUGAGAAGAUCGAACAAGCAAGGCUUGCCCAUCUUGCAGCAAAGGAUCAAAAAGUGGCAGCAGAGAUUCAAAGGGAGGCAAGAAAAUAUGAAUUAGAGACUAAGAUGUCUGACACAUACAACUGCCUUGUCAGUGGACGUUUCUUUGAGGUCCGAUGAAGAAAAGUUGGGUCGUGCAAAUACUAUGAGGUGUUUCCAAAAGAAAUUAUUUGCUGAUAAUUGAGGUUAUAAAAUCUAUCAUUUUGGAGACAUGACCAUUUCUGGAACAUGACCAUGGAGGCUGAUUUGUUGCUGUUGCUGUCGGUUCUUUUACUAGUGUGAACUGUCAAUUGAGAACUGAAGUAUGUCAAUUCUGAACUGAAGUACUAUUUUCUUAUUGUCAAUUGUGAACUGAAGUAACAUUUCUUGUCGCUGUCAAUUGUGAACUGUCCAAUGAAAUAGGGACUCUAUUAUUAUAUCAUAUCAUGUAUUCCUGAGACCAUUUCAUAUGAAUAUACAUUAUACUUGCUUA